CACUUCCCAUAAUGCCGCGUUCCGGAAGUUGUUGCUUUCCAGGGGUCACUCUGGCGUCUGCUCCGUCGCUCUCAAUUCGUCACCAGGAGGAAGACGGAGCUGGCUGCCCAGCCCAAAGGCCCAUGAGGGGAUGCAGUUAUGGGCUCUGUCGCCGUGGAUUAUUAUUUUGUGUCAGUAAGUAAUCCAUAAAGUGCCAACAUGGGAAAGAAACGGACAAAGGGAAAAACUGUUCCAAUCGAUGAUUCCUCUGAAACUUUAGAACCUAUGUGCAGACACAUUAGAAAAGGAUUGGAACAAGGUAACUUGAAAAAGGCUUUAGUGAAUGUGGAAUGGAAUAUUUGCCAAGACUGUAAGACUGACAAUAAAGUGAAAGAUAAAGCUGAAGAAGAAACAGAAGAAAAGCCUUCAGUUUGGUUAUGUCUUAAAUGUGGCCAUCAGGUGUG